rnacentral:misc_RNA from 1 species
AGAAGUAAAAGUCGUAACAAGGUUUCCGUAGGUGAACCUGCGGAAGGAUCAUUAUUGAACUAAACCUGACGGGUUGCUGCUGGCUCUCCAGGGGAGCAAUGUGCACACCUUGUCAUCUUUAUAUCUCCACCUGUGCACUUUUUGUAGACCUUUUCAGGUCUAUGUUGCUUCAUUUUACCCCAAUUGUAUGUCAAUAGAAUGUUGUGCCUUUAUAAUAUAUACAACUUUCAGCAACGGAUCUCUUGGCUCUC